GACAAAAACAUGAAUGAAGGAGAGAUGCAUGUGUUGUGAUCAUUAUAAAUAGGGCUCUGCUGAACGGCUGUGAGGACAAUAAGUAUCUGCAUGUGCAGAAUGGGAACAGACAAAGUAUUGUACUGGCUUGCCUAUCUAUGUCUGGACCUGGGCCACUGGGCUCAGCAGGGAACACUGCUAAAACGUACAGUGCUGUACAUAGAAACAGACUGGCAAAUCACUGACUUAGUUCAAAACAAUACUGACAGUCAGCAACACAGCAAGGGGAGAAAUAAGGUAGACCUAUACUGAUACAGUUGGCAGAGCCUAGCGAGACGGACAUGCAGCAUGUCGGCUGUAGACAACUCACUGUCACAGGAACGGACACAGACAAGUCACUAGCGGUCAACACAGCUGUAAGUUGACCGUCAACCAUACUGAAAGAAACAGCUGGGACGCGAUGUACGCCGUCAACAGUCAACCUACCGACUGCGCCUGAAUUGGCUGCCACGUUCGCCUUGAGACGGACUAGCGAAAAGGAUUCCAUUGAGGACCCACGUCUACUUUUAAAAGGCAACAUGGUCAGUUUACAAUACGGCUAAGAAGCCAGGGCCAAGCCUGAGACAUUGACACAGUCAACUCACUGCCACAGUCAGUCGGGCACACCCGGAGACACAUGUACCAGCAGCGGGAGCAAGCACAGGACUCUGAGCAGACUAAGACAUCCACCCAUCACGAAGAUAUCAAGAAAAUUUAGAUCAAGAUUGCAGCUCUGGAACUGAAGCUUAAAGAUAUACAGAACAAAGCAGCUGUGGCUUUUUCUGCUGGGCUCCAAGGAAGAUACUUAGGCCCUUAAAACACUGAAAUCACUCUGAAAUUCCAGAACGUUCAACUGAACGAAGGACAGGCUUACAACGCGAUCACAGGCAUCUUCACAGCACCAGUGAAAGGAAUCUAUUACUUCACCUUAAGCUGCUUCAAACCCAACAACUACAUAAUGAAUGUGUACUUGUACAAGAAUCAAGUCCCGAUUGCCGUUGUGUACGAUCACAAUGGUCAAAGUGGGGAUGACACAGUGACCAAUGGAGUUACCCUGUUGAGGUUGGGGCGCAGGUCUAUGCUAACCUAAUUCGAUCCACACACGUCACUGGCUCGCCCCUGCAAACCACUUUCACUGGUUUCUUACUCUUUCCCAUGUGAGAACGCUGGUCAAGAGAGGCAGAGUUUUACUCACUUUACAAUGAAAAAAUGGUGGCAAGCCUUAAUCAAAUUAUUGCGUUACUAUAUGUUUAUAUAAUCAUUAGAAAAUUAAAUGUUCCAAAUAUUUUCUUAAAAUAAAAUAAUCAUAAUUUCCACUGUUUUUUGCUGGACCGUGCUAGCUUCUCAAAGAAUGGAGAUGUGUAAAAUGUUUUCAAGACAUAAAAUAAAGUAAAAAAAGUGCUGUCAUUUCUAUGAGUUGAUAUUCUGCACUUCAAUAUCUUAGUGAUUGUAUCAUAUCAAAUUAAAAUCGCUGGAUUACAUACAGAGCCCAAAGAACAAAAUACAGGUCAUCGCUUGAACCUCCAUAUACAAUGCCUUCAUCAUAUCUUUCUGGAAAUACAAUGCAGUAUUUUAUCUAUUUGUUUGAUUUCUUAUUCUUGUUGACCUUGUUUCUCUCUCUCUACAUAUACACACACACACACACACACACACACGCAUGGUUUCCCCAUCCUCUCCCCCUCUCUGUUCCUCAGGAGUGCUGAUGGCUCAGCAGAGAUCUGCCUGCUUGUCUUUGUCCUGUAUGCUGGCAGCACCAGACCAGGUCUCACCCAGUCUGAUUAAUACCCACUGCACACCCCUAAGCUCUGCUUUACAAGGACAGGCACAGUUGUUUUGAUAAACUAUCAGUCAUGCACAGAAUCAUAUUAAAACAAGGUUCAGUGACGAAAGAACUAUGUAUACAGGAAGUAUACAGGAAGAGAAGUGGGGGGGGGGAAAGCAGAAGACAAAGAGAGGGAGAGAGUGGUUUUAUCCCCGCAGAUUAAAGAAGUCUGUUGUGUAUAUCUGGUUGUGCUGUUGAGACAGCUGCUGGACUUUGGGAGAUGGGCGGGGACAAAGGAAGAAAUGGGGCGGGGGUUUCCGGUGGGUUUGUUGUGCUGAGGCAGUGGCAGCUAAGGGGUGUUGGCCUCAUUCGUGGCCUCAGUCAGAACUAAGAGAACUCUAAUUGCAAUCACACUCUCUAACUGGUUGUCUGAAGAGGAGUUUAACCAACUAGCAAGUCGGACAUUUGCGAGUUUCCUAGUGUGCCUAGUGGCAUGUGUUCCGGCGGGCCAACUCCACUGGGAGUGACAUCACAACAUUGUGCCUGACCUACUUAAACAAGCAACAGUCACUAUGAUGUCAGAACUGUCCCUUUCAUUCCCUUUCUUUCUGUCCCUUUUUCACUUCCCUGUCUCCUUUUUCACUUCCCUGUCUCCUUUGCUUCUUACCUGUUAAUCAUUCUUUUCAGCCUUACUCUCUGUCGCCUCCUUUCACACCUGCCAUGUUCUGUGCUUUUCCCUCUCCAUUGAUCCCUCUCUUCACCCCAUCUUUUUCUCUCAGAUACACAGGCGCAACCGCAGCAAGCUAAAGAAUCAGCCACUGUUGCCAACAUAUCGAUUUCCGCAGAUUAAAGAAACAUAUCGAUGAAUGUCAAUGAGAUCCCAGACGAUGAUUAAGGAAAACACAGUUCCCAUAUGGUUGGAACCUCUAUCACCAAAUGGUUUCUAUGUAUAAAGCGCCGAUUUACAAACUUCAGAGAAUGUCAUGACGUUCCAGUCUGAGUAGUAGAAACAUUUUACAUUUCUUUUAGCUUGCUCAUUCAGUGGUUGCACUGUAGUCAGUGUCCUUAACACAUUUCUUUUUAUAUAAAUCCAUUUUGUAAGUAAACUGCAUGUGCAAUCUAAAGCAGGAUUGUUAGAAUCCGGGUAGGGUUCUUACAUAAUGGAUUGGGACACGAGAAGAUUCCUGGUUGACUAUCUGGACUAAAACUGUAUUGUUUGACCUUGAGAUGCUCAGAGAGAACAGGAGAGUGAGAGACAGGUAGAGAAAUAGAGAAAUAAAACACGAGAGGAGGGAGAGAAAGCAUAAGAGAAGAGGCAGGGGGAGACAAAGGACACACAAAAAGGGGGGGGGGCGACGACAAGUAGAGAGGACGAGAAAGCGCUAAGGACCGAGAAAACAUGUAUGGUAAGAGGAAUACAAACGUAAAGAGACGGCAUGAGAGAAGAGAAAAAGAGAUAGCUAAUCCCCUCCCUCCCUCAAGGGAUACAAAGAAGGAAACAAAACAGCCCUAAGCACCAAUGCCCCCCCCCCCCCACACACACCCGCCUCUCCUCUCCUUUCUUUACUACAACACUGUCUUCAACGCACAGAAAGGCUGCCCAUUUUUCCUCUCCCCGUUUUCUUCUAAUGUACUCCCUUGUUCCAGCCCCCCCUUUUCUCCCUCUCAACCUGUCCCUCUCUCCUUCACCACUGUUCCCUUCCAGAGUUUUCUUCUCAUUGACAUUCAGUCCAGCUCUGAGGCUAGUCGCAGGGCAACCAGAGCACAAUAAUAUGCUGAAAUGUAAAUGUGCACAUACGCACACAGGCAGGCACACUCACACACUCACAC